AUUUGACCACCAUCCUCUAAGAUUUCAAGAAGCAGGCAUAUACUGUGGCUUUCUAAGUCUCCUUCAAGACAGCCCUCAGGAAAACUAGAACAAGACCCAACUAUAACAACAUCAUAAAUGAAUCUCACAGGCAUAGUGAGCAAAAGAAGCCAGACACAAGAGUAUAUAUAGAAUGUGAAUCCAUUUGCAUGAAGUUCAAGAACUGAUAAAAUCAAUCAAAUAACAAUAAAAGCCAGAAUAUUGAUUACCUGUGGAAGAAUAAGUGCAGACCGAGGAAAGGCAUAAGAAAAACUUCUGAGCUGCUAAAAAUGUUCUAUAUCUUGAUUUGGAUGUUUGUUACAUAGGCAUACAUGUAUAUGAAUAUUUCAUCAGUCUCUAUGUUUAAUUUUAGUGCACUUUAAUGUGCCUUAUAGUUUG
rnacentral:lncRNA from 1 species